rnacentral:tRNA from 1 species
GCCUUCGUGGUGUAGUGGUCAGCCCUCUGGGCGCAUAUUCCAGUGGUCCGUGGUUCGAGUCUCGGCGAAGGCG